GACGAGCCUCACGAACGUUAUUCGGAAUUACUGGGCUUAAAGGGUGCGUAGGCGGCGCGAAAAGUUGGGUGUGAAAUACCUCGGCUCAACCGAGGAACUGCGCCCAAAACUAUCGUGCUCGAGGGAGAUAGAGGUGAGCGGAACUUACGGUGGAGCGGUGAAAUGCGUUGAUAUCGUAAGGAACACCCGUGGCGAAAGCGGCUCACUGGGUCUUCUCUGACGCUGAUGCACGAAAGCUAGGGGAGCAAACGGG
rnacentral:rRNA from 2 species